AGCAGCCGCGGUAAUUCCAGCUCCAAUAGCGUAUAUUAAAGUUGCUGCAGUUAAAAGCUCGUAGUUGAAUUUCGGGACCAUCAUGUUGGUCGUGCCUCGGUACGUACUGGCAUUGUUGGUUUCUCCCUUCUGACGAACCAUGAUGUCAUUUAUUUGGUGUCGUGGGAAAUCAGGACUGUUUACUUUGAAAAAAUUAGAGUGUUUAAAGCAGGCUCACGCUUGAAUACAUUAGCAUGGAAUAAUGAAAUAGGACGUUUGAUUCUAUUUUGUUGGUUUCUAGGAUCGACGUAAUGAUUAAUAGGGAUAGUUGGGGGCAUUAGUAUUCAAUUGUCAGAGGUGAAAUUCUUGGAUUUAUUGAAGACUAACUACUGCGAAAGCAUUUGCCAAGGAUGUUUUCAUUAAUCAAGAACGAAAGUUAGGGAUCGAAGACGAUCAGAUACCGUCGUAGUCUUAACCAUAAACUAUGCCGACUAGGGAUCGGAUGAUGUUUAAUUUUUUAAUGUA
rnacentral:misc_RNA from 1 species